GGUGUCAUGUCCAUAAAUCAACCCAGUCCCGAAAAUUCCUGGUCACAGCCUCUGUUCUGUGGCCACUGCAGCUCUCCUGCUCCACAGAGCUCCGUGUCCCCCUAGACCCAGAUGCCAGAAAAUGGGCACAGGUGUCUCAGGAGCCUCAGAAUUCCCAGAACAAGGAGCUGAGGAUGCUGUGUGAAAGCAAAAAUAUUCCCAAGCACGGAAAGGGAGGAAACACGAGAAGCUGGUGCCUGGCAGACGGCAGCUCCUGUCCUGCUUCCACUCCGGGAUGUCCCAGGGCAGCCAGGGAAUCCAAACUUUCCUGCCUGGACGUUGGGCUGUUUCCACACACUCCCAGUUCCAGACUGGUGGGACUGGGAGGAGGGGAGUGGGGUUCAGUGGGGCCUGUGGUGCCCACGAUGGGGUUUGGGGUGGGAUAAUAUUCCCCCAUCCCAGCGGGAGCUGCCACCGGCUCUGCAUCAGAACCCAACCUUCAGCAGACUCCAGAGGAGAGAAAAAGACAACAAAAUGAAACCAUCCCAAAGAGAAUAGAGCAGCUGUGCUGUGGGACGGGGGCAGCAGUGUGGGUGUGAGGGGCUGUAACACAGCACAGCUUUGCAGCUCUCCUCCCAAAGGCAGCGACCCAAAGUGCCCAUCCCUGGGGCAUGGCACUAUGGCUCAGGGGUGCCACUGGAGCCUGGGCAUGCUGCAGUGCUGGCUGUGCCUGCCUGGGUCCCAGUCCCUGUGGAGACACAAAGAUUUGGCACCCAGGGUCCCCUCAUGGUGUGAGACCCCACAAACCCCCACAGCU